rfam:Dipodomys ordii contig_3031, whole genome shotgun sequence.
GGGAAUGUGGCUUAGUGGUAGAGUGCUUGCCUAGCAUGCACGAAGCCCUGGGUUCAAUUCCUCAGCACCA